rnacentral:misc_RNA from 1 species
GCGGCAUUAGCGCUUGGGGGACUGGUCAGUCUAGGUAUAGCCUUGGCCAAGAAAUGACGCUGCCGACCAAAACAAGGCUGUGUUGCCAACCAGCCUGAAAUUGAGAGAAGAUGUUCACAUUUUAAAUGUUUAAUUGGAUAAAUAGAAGCUCAAAUGACAAGACAGAAAAUCAUUUACAAUGUAUUGACUGACCAGAUUUGUUAUUUGAAUUUAAUCUAAAAAUUUAAAUAAUGCUGUGAAGUAAUGAGUGUUGCUAUGGUAGGAAGACUCCUCUUCAGUUAAUUGUUUUAAUACAAUGAUUUGAUUAUUAUUUUUUAUAAGUAUUAAAAGUGAUUACCGGUAAAAUGGAUUUAUUGUUAAGAUGUUUUGUCAUGGUACAUGAAUUGUACAGUGUAUGUUAUUAAAUUAUGUAAACUACU